AGAGUUUGAUCCUGGCUCAGAUUGAACGCUGGCGGCAUGCCUUACACAUGCAAGUCGAACGGUAACGCGGGGGCAACCCUGGCGACGAGUGGCGAACGGGUGAGUAAUACAUCGGAACAUAUCCAGUAGCGGGGGAUAACCUAUCGAAAGAUGGACUAAUACCGCAUACGAUCUACGGAUGAAAGCAGGGGACCGCAAGGCCUUGCACUAUUGGAGUGGCCGAUGUCGGAUUAGCUAGUUGGUGAGGUAAAGGCUUACCAAGGCGACGAUCCGUAGCUGGUCUGAGAGGACGAUCAGCCACACUGGAACUGAGACACGGUCCAGACUCCUACGGGAGGCAGCAGUGGGAAUUUUGGACAAUGGGCGCAAGCCUGAUCCAGCCAUGCCGCGUGAGUGAAGAAGGCCUUCGGGUUGUAAAGCUCUUUCGGUGAAGACGAAACGGUUAGCGCUAAUAACGCUGACUAAUGACGGUACUCACAGAAGAAGCACCGGCUAACUACGUGCCAGCAGCCGCGGUAAUACGUAGGGUGCAGGCGUUAAUCGGAAUUACUGGGCGUAAAGCGUGCGCAGGCGGUUUGCUAAGACAGGUGUGAAAUCCCCGAGCUUAACUUGGGAAUUGCGCUUGUAACUGGCAAGCUAGAGUGUGGCAGAGGGGGGUGGAAUUCCACGUGUAGCAGUGAAAUGCGUAGAUAUGUGGAGGAACACCGAUGGCGAAGGCAGCCCCCUGGGUUAACACUGACGCUCAUGCACGAAAGCGUGGGGAGCAAACAGGAUUAGAUACCCUGGUAGUCCACGCCCUAAACUAUGUCAACUAGUUGUCGGGGAAGAAAUUCCUUGGUAACGAAGCUAACGCGUGAAGUUGACCGCCUGGGGAGUACGGCCGCAAGGUUAAAACUCAAAGGAAUUGACGGGGACCCGCACAAGCGGUGGAUUAUGUGGAUUAAUUCGAUGCAACGCGAAAAACCUUACCUACCCUUGACAUGCUAGGAAGCCCGCAGAGAUGUGGGUGUGCCCGAAAGGGAACCUAGACACAGGUGCUGCAUGGCUGUCGUCAGCUCGUGUCGUGAGAUGUUGGGUUAAGUCCCGCAACGAGCGCAACCCUUGCCAUUAGUUGCUACAUUCAGUUGGGCACUCUAAUGGGACCGCCGGUGACAAACCGGAGGAAGGUGGGGAUGACGUCAAGUCCUCAUGGCCCUUAUGGGUAGGGCUUCACACGUAAUACAAUGGUCGGUACAGAGGGCUGCCAACCCGCAAGGGGGAGCUAAUCCCAGAAAGCCGAUCGUAGUCCGGAUUGUAGUCUGCAACUCGACUGCAUGAAGCCGGAAUCGCUAGUAAUCGCGGAUCAGCAUGUCGCGGUGAAUACGUUCCCGGGUCUUGUACACACCGCCCGUCACACCAUGGGAGUGGGUUCCACCAGAAGUAGUUAGCCUAACCGCAAGGAGGGCGAUUACCACGGUGAGAUUCAUGACUGGGGUGAAGUCGUAACAAGGUA
rnacentral:rRNA from 1 species